rnacentral:rRNA from 1 species
UACGGGGGGAGCAAGCGUUUGUUCGGAUUUACUGGGCGUAAAGGGCGCGUAGGCGGUAGCACAAGUCAGUUGUGAAAUCUCCGGGCUUAACUCGGAAAGGUCAACUGAUACUGUGCGACUAGAGUGCAGAAGGGGCAACUGGAAUUCUCGGUGUAGCGGUGAAAUGCGUAGAUAUCGAGAGGAACACCUGCGGCGAAGGCGGGUUGCUGGGCUGACACUGACGCUGAGGCGCGAAAGCCAGGGGAGCGAACGGG